rnacentral:rRNA from 1 species
GACGAACGCUGGCGGCGUGCUUAACACAUGCAAGUCGAACGAUGAUGCUGGAGCUUGCUCCAGUUGAUUAGUGGCGAACGGGUGAGUAACACGUGAGCAAUCUGCCCUUGACUCUGGGAUAACUGCGGGAAACUGUAGCUAAUACCGGAUACUUUCACCGGAAGGCAUCUUCUGGUGAUGAAAGAAUUUCGGCCAGGGAUGAGCUCGCGGCCUAUCAGCUUGUUGGUGAGGUAACGGCUCACCAAGGCGACGACGGGUAACCGGCCUGGGAGGGUGACCGGUCACACUGGGACUGAGACACGGCCCAGACUCCUACGGGAGGCAGCAGUGGGGAAUAUUGCACGAUGGGCGCAAGCCUGAUGCAGCAACGCCGCGUGAGGGAUGAAGGCCUUCGGGUUGUAAACCUCUUUUAGCAGGGAAGAAGCGAAAGUGACGGUACCUGCAGAAGAAGCACCGGCUAACUACGUGCCAGCAGCCGCCGUAA